AAUGGGGGAUGGGCACUAAGGAGGGCACUUGUUGGGAUGAGCACUGGGUGUCAUAAGUAAGAGACGAAUCACUGGGUUCUACUCCUGAAGUCAAAGCUGCACUGUAUGUUAACUAACUUGAAUUUAAGUAAGUAAAUAAAUAAAUAAACAAACAAAUAAAAUGGAGUCUCCUCAGUUUCCCUAUCUCAGUAUUAUCUACUUCAGCCUUCUCACUUAAAGAGGAGGAAAAGGAGCCAAGAGGAGAAACUGACUUGGCAAAGAUCACACAAUUAGUGGAUGGCCGAGCCAAAGCUUGAAGCCAGGUGUUCUGACUUUGAAUUGAGGGAAUUUCGAUACAGGGAAUUAAGCUGGAUUAAUUUUAAAUGUAGAAUAACUAGAACUUCUGGCUACAAAAAUGAAUUAAAGAUAAUAUGAGAUAGCAUUGAUCCCACAAAGAAAGCAGGUCUUCAAAAAGGCUUCUUUUCCUAAGGAGGAGAGGAAAAUAAAUACAAUCUAAAACCAGGCGAGGGUAGGAGGGUAUGAAUCAGGCAGUUUCUUUGGAAGUCAGCUCAUGAAUACCUUACUUAUCUAGAGGUCCUUCAUUUGGCAAAUGUGACCAUUGGGAACAAACCUGUGAUCUACAAGGAAAAAUACGAAAUACCUUAUACAAAUCACCAAAGGCUUCCAGAUGGUAAUAUAACUCCGCAAAAGAAGUUUUGUUUUGUUUUGUUUUUCUUUUUCUCCUCUGAGUGAACAGCUAUGUAUUAAGGUUCGAUGAGGGGCAACUAAUGGAGAAGCAGACACAGGAGUCAGACAGCUGGGGAUCCAAAUCGGCUUCAUUACUGGAAGACCUGAGUGGGAGAAGAUGGUUUGGAUCUCAGCCAGAUGUACUUCCCAAUACAUCCUCCUCGAACUGAAUUUGCGAAGCUGGACCCUGACACAGCCAGGCAUCUCCGGGUCUCCCUUGUGGGGACGGGCUUGCUGAGAGCGAGUCUGGAGGACGGGCCACUCCCAAAGAGGGAACACCCAGAGCCUGUUCUGCAUGUCUUAUCAAGCAGUUAAACCACUUUGUGCUUGGGGAAGAGGUUGGGGGGUGAGGGGGGAACAAACGGUCUAUCCUUCCGGGGAGGAGAAUUUCCCUCCCUUCAGUGGAAAGAAAGGGGAGAAGAAUUGAAGAAGCUUCCUUGCCAGCACCAUCCAAGAUGAUAACAAGGUUUGUUUCAAUAUUCUAGUGAAAGAGAAAACUGGAAAACUUCACUUAACUAAUUGACGAAAUAUACAAAUGGGUAGAUUUUAUCAAGUCAGUAAACCUAGAAAAUGCGUUUCAAUAUAAGCCAUAUAGGAAGGUGUGCGAGAGCAAAACAUAGUAGGUACUUGUACUGGAAAACCUACUUUCAUGCUUAUAUUCUACUUACUUUUUGACUCGCUUCCUAGAAUUACCUUCCAUCCAUAAUCCCCGGUUUACUGUGGAACUAGUUUUACACCGUCAUGCUGCUCUCUGAUCACAGUGGAGUCAGUGAGGACACAUCGAAUGCCACCUUGGGAACAUUUCUCUCUUCUGAGAUAUUCUAGGAGCUGGGACCUAGUAAGAGCCUGAGGUCGGACCUGCAACACGUAAAACUCGGCAGCUACUGUUUUUCGGCUGCGUGGCCUGGGGAGAUGGUCCGGGCUCAAAGGAAGAGUGAGACUAACGUGUGGAUGGAAACAGAAGAAGGGAAAAUUGGAAGACAGAGCGAGCAGAGGAGGGGCAGAGAGACAGGGAGACAGAGGAUCCGAAGCAGGCUCUGUGCUGUCAGCGGGCGAUGCGGGGCUCAAACUCACCAACCUCGAGAUCAUGAUCCCAGCCAAAGUCCGACGCUUAACUGACUGAGACACGCAGGUGCCCCCAACUUGAGUUUAUUCUUGAUGCUUAUUUGCACUCCUGAUCUUGAGUCCCAUCAGGGACCCCAACUUCUUUCAACGAUUUCCCUUCUUGCUUGAGCUAGCUAGGGCAGGUUUCUGUUAUUUAUAAUUAAAGGAAUGUGUAUGGACACGUGCUCAGAAAAGCCAAGGAAGCUAUAAUAGUGGAAAAGUGGUUAUUGUAUUAAACUACAGGAUUACAGGACCUUGUGAUUCAAGACAAUCACUUCAUCUUUCUAGAGACCUCACUUUUCACAUCAAUACAAUGAAGGAGUUGAAUUCUAUGAUCUUUGGGGCACAGUUGACCCUUGAACACCAUGAGUUUGAACUGCGCGGGUCCACUUGUAUGCAAUUUUUUUUGGGGGCUCCUGGGUGGUUCAGUCAAUUAAGUGUCCGACUUCGGCUCAGGUCACAAGCUUGUAGUCCGUGAGUUCGAGCCUCACGUUGCCCUAUGCUUUACCUUUUAUUCCCAUGACCUAUUCAUCCCAUACCUGGAAGUCUGUACCUUCCAUUCCCUUUCACCCCUUUCACCCCUUUCACCCAUCCCCCUCCAUUCCCUUUCUUAUGAUUUUCUCGAGAUUUCACUUUCUCUAAGUUACUUUAUUAUAAGAAUGCAGUAUAUAAUAUAUGCAACACACAAACUAUA